GGCCUCGUGGCCUAAUGGCUAGGGCGCUAGAUUUCGGUGCUAUAUAGCAGCAGAUUCUCUAGAGAUUGUCGGUUCGAGUCCGGCCGAGGUCG